UACGGAGGGUGCAAGCGUUAUCCGGAUUCACUGGGUUUAAAGGGUGCGUAGGUGGGCAGGUAAGUCAGUGGUGAAAUCUCUGGGCUUAACCCGGAAACUGCCGUUGAUACUAUCUGUCUUGAAUAUAGUGGAGGUGAGCGGAAUAUGUCAUGUAGCGGUGAAAUGCUUAGAUAUGACAUAGAACAUCGAUUGCGAAGGCAGCUCGCUACACUAUGAUUGACACUGAGUCACGAAAGCGUGGGGAUCAAACAGG
rnacentral:rRNA from 1 species